rnacentral:piRNA from 1 species
UGACCCUUUUUUGUGUCCCAAAUCAUGGUU